rfam:Corchorus capsularis cultivar CVL-1 contig06612, whole genome shotgun sequence.
GGGUGCGAUCAUACCAGCACUAAUGCACCGGAUCCCAUCAGAACUCCGCAGUUUAACGUGCUUGGGCGAGAGUAGUACUAGGAUGGGUGACCUCCUGGGAAGUCCUCGUGUUGCACCCC